AGGGGCUUAAAUCAAAUCUCGUAAGCAUAAGCCAAUUGUGUGAUGAUGGGUAUUCUGUGAAAUUUUCUGAUAAAGAAUGCAAUGUGACUCGUGAUAAUUAUCUUUUCUUAAAAGGUGUAAGAUCUCAGAAUAACUGUUAUGUAGUUCCUAGUGCUUCAUCUGAAAAGUGUAACCUAGCGACAUUAGAGACUGAAACUUUAUGGCAUGAACGGCUAGGUCACAUAAACUUUAAGGAACUAUC
rnacentral:lncRNA from 1 species